AAUCCAUGGUGAGGGAAUUUUCUACGGUAGUCAUUGAAACGCUCCCACACGUCGCAAAAGGGCUCAUCAUUGAGCUGUCUGGAGGAGGUAAUCUUGUUCCUCAAUGC
rfam:Brassica oleracea var. oleracea cultivar TO1000 chromosome C3, whole genome shotgun sequence